rnacentral:lncRNA from 1 species
CUAUUUGGACUCUUUGAAAACAUCUUUGAUUAACUUCUAAAAAGAUUAAUUUAUUGAAAAGUGGUGGACUUUUAGAAAAAAGACGUGUAAAAUAGAUUUAGGCGACUUAGUAGGGAUUUUAACUAAGCCUAAACAAAACUAAUAAAUAAAUAAACACAUAAAAAGGGGGAAGUGAGGAGAAAGUAAAGGAUUUAGACCAUUGGGCCCAAAUCGACAGACCUGUCCUAGUCUAAUUGGGCUUCUGACCCAUUUCACCUAUCCUAAUCUAGUUUUCGAGCCCUUGGCUCGAGUUCGCUCCACCUGUAUAAAGUUUACAACUUUGGCUUCGAGGCCCAAAAUACAAUGAAUAAUGAAAUAAAAAAAAUAAUAGAUAAUAAUAAAGGCCGACAAUGAAUGAACAAAUGAAAAUAAGAUUCUCGCGUCUCUUUGUCCCUUCAAAUAUGGAACUUUAACCCAUUUUUCUAUUCCUUUGACUUUUCGUAUCCGUAUGCCAUGAGAUUUUCUUUGGAAAUAGUCUUCCUAAAAAUCAACUCAAGGCUAGAUAGGCCUCAAUGGUCCAUA